UACGGAGGGAGCUAGCGUUGUUCGGAAUUAUUGGGCGUAAAGCGCGUGUAGGCGGCUUUGCAAGUCGGGUGUGAAAGCCCUCAGCUCAACUGAGGAAGUGCGCCCGAAACUGCAGAGCUUGAGUGCCGGAGAGGGUGGCGGAAUUCCCCAAGUAGAGGUGAAAUUCGUAGAUAUGGGGAGGAACACCGGUGGCGAAGGCGGCGACCUGGGUAGAUACGUGACGCUGAGGCGCGAAAGCGUGGGGAGCAAACAGG
rnacentral:rRNA from 1 species